GACGAACGCUGGCGGCGUGCUUAACACAUGCAAGUCGAACGGAAAGGCCCUGCUUUUGUGGGGUGCUCGAGUGGCGAACGGGUGAGUAACACGUGAGUAACCUGCCCUGGACUUUGGGAUAACUUCAGGAAACUGGGGCUAAUACCGGAUAGGAGCUCCUGCUGCAUGGUGGGGGUUGGAAAGUUUGGGCGGUUGGGGAUGGACUCGCGGCUUAUCAGCUUGUUGGUGGGGUAGUGGCUUACCAAGGCUUUGACGGGUAGCCGGCCUGAGAGGGUGACCGGCCACAUUGGGACUGAGAUACGGCCCAGACUCCUACGGGAGGCAGCAGUGGGGAAUAUUGCACAAUGGGCGGAAGCCUGAUGCAGCAACGCCGCGUGCGGGAUGACGGCCUUCGGGUUGUAAACCGCUUUCGCCUGUGACGAAGCGUGAGUGACGGUAAUGGGUAAAGAAGCACCGGCUAACUACGUG
rnacentral:rRNA from 1 species